GACGAACGCUGGCGGCGUGCUUAACACAUGCAAGUCGAACGGAAAGGCCCUGCUUUUGUGGGGUGCUCGAGUGGCGAACGGGUGAGUAACACGUGAGUAACCUGCCCUUGACUUUGGGAUAACUUCAGGAAACUGGGGCUAAUACCGGAUAGGAGCUCCUGCUGCAUGGUGGGGGUUGGAAAGUUUCGGCGGUUGGGGAUGGACUCGCGGCUUAUCAGCUUGUUGGUGGGGUAGUGGCUUACCAAGGCUUUGACGGGUAGCCGGCCUGAGAGGGUGACCGGCCACAUUGGGACUGAGAUACGGCACAGACUACUACGGGAGGCAGAAGUGGGAAAUAUUGCACAAUGGGCGGAAGUCUGAUGAAGAAACGCCGCGUGCGGGAUGACGGAAUUCGGGUUGUAAACAGCUUUCGACUGUGACGAAGCGUGAGUGACGGUAAUGGGUAAAGAAGCACCGGCUAACUACGUG
rnacentral:rRNA from 1 species